rnacentral:rRNA from 1 species
GACGAACGCUGGCGGCGUGCUUAACACAUGCAAGUCGUACGGUAAGGCCCUUUCGGGGGUACACGAGUGGCGAACGGGUGAGUAACACGUGAGUAACCUGCCCACAACUUUGGGAUAACGCUAGGAAACUGGUGCUAAUACUGGAUAUGUGCUCCUGCUGCAUGGUGGGGGUUGGAAAGCUCCGGCGGUUGUGGAUGGACUCGCGGCCUAUCAGCUUGUUGGUGGGGUAGUGGCCUACCAAGGCGGCGUCGGGUAGCCGGCCUGAGAGGGUGACCGGCCACAUUGGGACUGAGAUACGGCCCAGACUCCUACGGGAGGCAGCAGUGGGGAAUAUUGCACAAUGGGCGCAAGCCUGAUGCAGCAACGCCGCGUGCGGGAUGACGGCCUUCGGGUUGUAAACCGCUUUCAGCAGGGACGAAGCUUUUUGUGACGGUACCUGCAGAAGAAGCACCGGCUAACUACGUG